CUGGGCUCUGUAAUCUAACAUCACCAUAGACACACACAGCCUUUGAACCUAAAUUGAGUGUUGUAAACCAUAAUAAGCUGAGUCUACUCCAAUCAUUGGAGGACAGUAGGCUAAUUUUACCAAUUGGCUAAUUUUACCAAAGUAAUGGUACAGUGUGAGAAUUGUGCAAGGUGGUUCCACAACUUAUGUCUGCAGUUUCAGACUGCUUUCCCGUCUGACAAGGAAUUGCCAUGGUUCUGUCAGUUGUGCAGUACAGAAGUAAAAGGGUAAAGAAGAAAUUAACAGAUGUCAAAGCCAUGAACCAUGAGAACUCCACCAUGGAUGACUACAUUUUUUUCUUUAUUUCCAUUUAUUAAUUAAUUUUGCUUUGAAUAAAC
ensembl:lncRNA